UCUGGUGACUGUUUACCCAGUUUUCCAAUUAUAGUACAGUUUCUCAGUUCUUUGCUUAUCUAGUUAAAGGUAUUAGAAAAAGAGACUGCACAAUGCUGUGCAAAAUAUAAAAAAAAAGAAUUAUAAAUACCUUAGGUUUCAUUCAUUCUUGUCUUAGCAAACAUAAUGCUGUGUUCUUAUUAAGUGGAAAAGAAGUAAAGCGAGACCAACUUAAGAAAACCUCUAUCUCAAUGAGCCUUCAAAUCUGUAUUUAACUGUAGAACUCUGAACUGCCUGGCAUCCCAACAUUGAUAACCAGUGGGAGAUUAAAUGCUACUCCUUGUUCCAAGAUGACACCAAGAUGUGUAGCACAGCUAUCUGUAAAUGAAAAUAAAAUUCAAGUGCUGCCAGAAUUUAUUUCUCUGGCAAACAACAACAGACACUUUGCCAAAUGUAUUCCGAAUGACAAUGCACUUUUUUCUCAUGAUGGGAUACAUUAUGAAAUUCUUCACUGUUCAGUAGUUUAGUCAAUAGUUUCUUUGUUGCUUCAUGUGAAAAUGUUUGCAGGUGAGUAAAAUAAUAAACUUCUUCCCAGUAGCGCUGCCAAUUCAUGAUACUGCCAGAUGAUAGCACUUUACAGCAAUUCUUACAACUCCUUUCAAUUGAACUUCAAGAGAGCUGACCCAGAGCUGUGUUACUCUUUUGUCAAAGUCUUCAUACUCUAAGAUCUGUGAAGUCUGAACAAGAAUAUGCAGUUUGCCACUAGUUGCCUUUAUCUUUCUGAGCUUGAAGUGUUGACAACUACAAGCAUCUGUGCUGCUGUAGUCAUGGAGGUACUGCUGUUAACUGUAUCACAGCCUGUACUUGUCAUGUGCUGGAAACCUCCAUGGCUGCGAGUACCUGGACAGAGAAACACUUCAGUUUUUCUUAUUUAUGUUGUAAGCCUAGUUCAAGGACUUUCAUCUACACAAAGAAUUCUUCCUGAGUGGACUUGCACAAUACACAGUCUUCUGAUAUGCUGUGCAAAUUAAUUUUCAGACUACCCCUCCAGAGACAAUUUUCGUGUAUUGUGUCUUUGCUAAACUGCAAUACAAGUUAUCCUUUACUCGUCACCUUGUCUUGAUUCUUUUUAAAUCCAAAACCAUUCCUCUCCAAAUUUCUUUGCUGUAGACUUUGCAACUAGUUCUGUACGUACUUCCAGCAUAUCGUCCAUCAGUGGUUAUCUGUUGCUACUUAAGAAGUAAGACAGACAGUCAUGCAACCUCUAGAAGUAGCGAAUCAUUUCUAACCUGCAUGCUACUCAUUUCCUAAAUGAGUUAGUUGGUAUAAAGCUGUGUAUUCUUCCUUUGUCAAAAAUUCCUGAAAUAAUCUCUCAUGGAGCAGUCUCACAAAGUACCAAGUAUGUCAGUUCAUCUCUGUUUAAACUGAAACCGGAGAACUCGGCUCCCUGUCAGUUUAAACCAAUACUGACUGAUGCACCUCACCCUGCAGAGUACGCCAGUGUGAGGGUGUAAGAACCCCUCUGGAUGCUCUUGUCUCUGCGGCAACUGGAAGGGAGCAGCCUAAUCCUAGGACAACAGCAGCUUUCUGCUCUUAACAUUGUUUAUUUCUUGUUAUCAUUUGUUUUUUGUUUUUUGUUUUUUUUGUUUGUUUGUUUGUUUUUUUACUGUGCUUUCCCUAUGGAAUACACAACAUAUGACAAAGCUUUUCAGCAAUAUCCUUUGACUGUUUGGCAUGCUUAGCUUAGUUGCCUGCCUUAAACUGUUACUACUGCUUGCUUUUAAUCUUUUCCAGCCAAAAAUUGCUCCUCUCACCUCCUAGUUAUCAGUUCUCCACAGAAUUUGUUCUUGCUUCUGUUCCUCGGACAAAUUCCAGAAGAUAAGUGAGGUGAGCAGGCACAAUGAAGGUGUUAUCAAACUCUGCAUGUGUAUUUCCAAGAGAACCACAAAACCAUCUCUUGUUCUACUUGGAAGUAACAAAAAUGAGAUAACUGUGGCUAAUUAUGGAGAGAGAUACUCCCCAAAUCUGGAUUUACGUAAUUCUGUCUCCAUUCACUGUACCAGUCUGGCUUGUGUUGAAGGGGGCUGAAACAGAAGAUGGGCCUGAACUUGGCAGAGCAACUCAGUUCAGAAAUAUAUCCCUAUUCUAUCAGCAAACAAAAGGCUGAAAUGUAUGAAAAGCAGCUGUGAAACAUCGUAAGGAGAGGAAAAAAUUGUACCAUAAAAAUAGGACAACCAUAUUUUCCACAAACUUCUCAAGUCAUC
ensembl:lncRNA